AUUGAACGCUGGCGGCAUGCCUUACACAUGCAAGUCGAACGGUAACAGGCCUUCGGAUGCUGACGAGUGGCGAACGGGUGAGUAAUACAUCGGAACGUGCCCGAUCGUGGGGGAUAACGAAGCGAAAGCUUUGCUAAUACCGCAUACGAUCUACGGAUGAAAGCAGGGGACCGCAAGGCCUUGCGCGAACGGAGCGGCCGAUGGCAGAUUAGGUAGUUGGUGGGAUAAAAGCUUACCAAGCCGACGAUCUGUAGCUGGUCUGAGAGGACGACCAGCCACACUGGGACUGAGACACGGCCCAGACUCCUACGGGAGGCAGCAGUGGGGAAUUUUGGACAAUGGGCGAAAGCCUGAUCCAGCCAUGCCGCGUGCAGGAUGAAGGCCUUCGGGUUGUAAACUGCUUUUGUACGGAACGAAAAGACUCUGGUUAAUACCUGGGGUCCAUGACGGUACCGUAAGAAUAAGCACCGGCUAACUACGUG
rnacentral:rRNA from 1 species